UACGUAGGGUGCAAGCCUUAUCCGGAGUGACUGGGCGUAAAGAGUUGCGUAGGUGGUUAGUAAAGUGAAUAGUGAAAUCUGGUGGCUCAACCAUACAGACUAUUAUUCAAACUCACUAACUCGAGAAUGGUAGAGGUAACUGGAAUUUCUUGUGUAGGAGUGAAAUCCGUAGAUAUAAGAAGGAACACCAAUGGCGUAGGCAGGUUACUGGACCAUUGCUGACACUGAGGCACGAAAGCGUGGGGAGCGAACGGG
rnacentral:rRNA from 1 species